GCUAGUAUCUCACAGCAUGAGGACAACGUCUACACAUAAGUAUUUCCAUGCAUUAGAGGGGGGAGACUGUCAGAGAAGAAAUGUUCUCUGUGCUAAGGAGAUGCACGCUGACUGGGACUGGCAUGAUGAAUGCCAUUCUGCAAGAGCAAAGGUCAAGCAUCUACAGUAAACCAGCAAAGGAAAAGAUCGGACCAAUGCACUCUGUCUUUGCCUUGUGUGUGUUUGCUGUCACCCUCUUGGCCCCAGCUGGAUGGAUAAUGCAUCACAUCCCAGAGUACCGACAGGGAUCACCACCACAACCUUGACCCCUGGCCUCUGGAAGAACACCACACAGUUAUUAUGUCAGAGCAUUUCAGUAUGUAAAAUGUCAAAAGAAUAAAGAGUUUGAAAUGA